UAUUACAUAAAUUAUGCCGCAUGCAUUUAGCAUUUAAUUAAUAAAUCUUGAUGUUUGAUUAGAAGUUUGAGUGCUAUAGAAACGUUGAAUGUAUCAAGGGAAAUAGGCAUAAUUUGUUAAAUUGUGUUAAGAAUUUAUUUCUUUUCCCUUUUCAUUCUUUUAAUUGCUUUACUAAAUGGUUAUAUUUAUGAAGUGCUCUUAAUUUACUGUCUUUUUUUUUGUCAAAUUUUGCAGAAAGUACAGAUGUAGUUCUUUUCUGGAUGAAAAUUGAAAGGAUUAUAUACACUUACAUUCUUUUAAAUGACAUUUUUUGGAUAAACUUGGUGUCUUGACCAAAUUUUGCACAUCUUCACUGAUUUCUUGGGAUACGUGUCACUUCCCACCAACAAUUAUCGAAUAACUCCGCCCACCUAGGCUAGCACAGAUAAAAAGAAAUUACUCAAUGUUUUUGUAUUCUUAUAAAUGACAUUUCUUUAAAAUGAUUUUUAUAUGGUACUAAUUGGAAGAAUUAUUUCAUUCAUUAAGUACUAGUUAACCAAAUCACCAAGGGUUCUCCAUCAUGUUCUAUUGUAUUUGCUUUUGCAUUGAAUUUGCAUUUAGGUUUUCUUCUCUACGAUGCUCGUAACAUUAUGCCUUUGUCUCAAGUAGCAAUGAAGAUGAAAGUGGAUUGAGUUACUGAUGAUUAGGAGGAAACUUGUAAUUUUGUAAUGAAAUGGAGACCUGCAUUUGAAGAGGAGCCUUAGAGUAACUGGUAAAAUUGCUACCAUGUGACUAGGAGGUCACAAAUUCAAGUCUUGAAAAUAGCCUCUUGUAAUGCAAGGAAAGGCUGCAUACGAUAGACCUUUGUGGUCCAGCCCUACAGACUUUGCACAUAGCGAGAGUUUUAGUGCACCGGGCUUUCCUUUAACAGUAGACUUGCAGUUGCACGCUCAAGAUGUAUCCUUGAUUUCAGUUACUGAAUAUUUGUCACCCUGAUGGAGCUUUUAUAAAACAUUAUGACCUUUUUCUUGCCUGUGCUUUAGAGGCUAUUGUCAUAGUUCUACGUGUUUAUAUUUACUUUCUGAGGCAAAAUAAGAAUAGUGAGCUUCUAAUCAACUCGUUGGACUGAAAUUAGGUCACUAGUUUAAGGAUCACUUGGGUCAUUUGUAGAUUUUCUUCAAUGUUUUAUCCUCAUCUUUUUAUUUUUCUCGUAAGUAAUUGUGAAUUUUUUAAUUUAUACUUUAUUAUAAAUUUGGAUGAUGAACCAAAAUAUCCCGAAAAGGUUUAAUUGUUGAGUACAUAAAUAUUCCUUUUUUUCUCUAGGAUUCAAAACCCGUAGUGCUAGAGUCUCUAACUCCUAUAUAGUACUUGAUGCUUUGAAAGUUUAAGAAAAGGAGGCUAGAGAAACAGGCAAACAUGUUAAGGAGUAGGUAUAAUGAUAAGCUGGAGAGGCUAAUUCUUAGACCAUUGUUAUCUAUUGCUUUCACUGUGUGACUUACAAGUAAGUUAGGAAAAAUCAUACUCUAGUAAAUAGAUUAGGUUAUUAAUUGCCUAAGCAAAUUUUGUAACCUUAGGAUGUAAACCUAUGUGUCCUUUUCACAUCCUUUUUCCCUCUAAGUUGUAAAAAUAGUUUUGGUGAUGUUAGGACAUAGGAAUAACAAGUUGUAAUAUUCUACAGGUUGCAAUAUUCUAUCCAAGAUUAUGUCUCUUGCAAAGAUAAGGGACAUAAUCUUGGAUAGAAUAUUUUAGUCAUAUUCGAUUGUGCUACUUAUUCUUCGAUUUAUACAGCUGCUUUGGUCGAGUGCAUUUGGAAGGCGAGGCCCUCUUGUUUAAUGGACCACGAAGGAGGACCCUCAAUUUCUACUGUCUUCUGUAUCACCACUUGCCUCUGUAAAUUAAAUUUUUGUUAACACUUCUUCAGCAACCUACUCUCUUAUUGAUUUCUUUUAACAUAACAAAGAUUUCUUGGAGAAGCUUCAACCUAUUUUAAAGCAAACAUAAGCAGUGGGUUGUAAUUAUUGUUUAUAGUAACAACUAAAUUAAAUUAGCAAUCGUGAUGAUUGAGCAUGUACAGGAAAGAACAUUUAGUAAUCAAAUAUAUCAUUUUGAGCUAAACAUUUUGGUGAUUUAUCCAUCCUCUGUAAAUUUUAUUGCUUCAUGGAAACGUUAUUAAAAGUCAGCUCUUUCAAUCAAAAAUUAUUUAUUUUAAGCUUUUGAGCUGUCUAUUAGUUGGUAGCGGUUAGUAGUUUAGUUUAUAUUUCCUCUAUCCUUUCUCUGUGAAUGAGUGGAAUAUUUUAACUCAUUGUAGCUUUGAUCUUGCAGAUUUUGCAGAUGGAGGGUAAAUAGCCGAAACAGACUUUUGGGAAGAAAUUCCAUGCGUUGUAUAUAGUUUGUUUAUUGGUGCUUUAGGAACGGAUAAAGAUUUCAUUGGUAAAGUUUUGAAGCAUGACUAGACAGAUCCAAAGCUUAAGGAGAUAAUCACUUGGGAGAGAACCUCUAUCCAACCAAAACCUGAGGACUUGUGUGCUUCACGCCAAAAGGUUUAUUGCAGGAAAGAGGAUUCACCUUUAACUCCUUCCACUCUGAUGGAACCUAAGUUAAGCUUUGACAGACUGCUUUACAUUUUUACCGCACAGGGUAUUGCUUGCUUCACAAGAGUCGAUAAUGUGACAUACUGCAUUAAAUAUAAUCUACCAGGGUUUGUCAUUCUCUGAUCUUAUUUAUGUAACAAAAAAAAUAUGGAAACUAAUGUUUCAAAUCUGACUAAACAUCUGGAGAAUGUCGCAGAGGCUCUUGCUGAGCAACUUAAAAUUGUGGGCAUCUCUACACCUAUUUUGAUGGGCCUUAAAUAACUUGCCAACUCGUUACCAAAAGUAAACAACAACAGAUUCAUUACAGACGCCAUUACUCAAGAUGGUAUUGAUAAAUUGAAUGAGCCAACUUAGUCCCCUCCUGAGGUAAGGUGGUUUUUAAAGGAAACAUUAGGUGGAUCUAUUUGUGUUAUAUUCAACAUCAUAGUAUGUUAUUCAACUAGAGAAGAUCUUAGUUCAAUUCACAAAUUAGCAAGGAUAUGAAUAAUAAUGUAUAUUGUGAUUGAGGACGUUGCAAAGCCCAGAUUAAGCAUGGAGUCAGUCUAUUUCUCAAAGGGAACAUGAUGAAAAUUUGCAUGUACUAUUAUUUUUGAGUUAUUUUUAUCUAACAUAGUGUUUUAAGACAAUCUAAAUAGAAUAAUGAUGUAUAAUAUGAAUAGUAGAUGUAUGAGAAUAUAAUUGUAUUUUUCAAUCAAAAUUUGUAGUAAAUAUUAAUUGUAUAAACUAGACAAGAAUGUUAUGUUUUAAAUGUGUUGUCAUUGG